rnacentral:rRNA from 1 species
CAGUCGCCGCGGGAAUACGGAAGGUCCAGGCGUUAUCCGGAUUUAUUGGGUUUAAAGGGAGCGUAGGCUGGAGAUUAAGUGUGUUGUGAAAUGUAGACGCUCAACGUCUGACUUGCAGCGCAUACUGGUUUCCUUGAGUACGCACAACGUUGGCGGAAUUCGUCGUGUAGCGGUGAAAUGCUUAGAUAUGACGAAGAACUCCGAUUGCGAAGGCAGCUGACGGGAGCGCAACUGACGCUUAAGCUCGAAGGUGCGGGUAUCAAACAGGAUUAGAGACCCCCGUAGUCCCUGUCUCUUAUAC